AUGCUCAUAAAUUCCCCCUAGACCUAGCUGCUAUUGAAGUUCCMUCUACAACUGGAUAAUACUUUGGUCCUAGUCUAUACGAGUUUUUGAAAGUAAGGGAGCAAUCACCUCUUGUUCUAUCAAAAGUGGAUUGCUCCUUGACUUUUCUUUUUUUAUUACGACUCUUUUUUUAUUACGACUAGGGUAGCAUUUUAUUUACAGAUCGUUUUUUUGUUACAAGAAAAAUAUUUUUAUGCUUUGGUUCAUGAUUGAGUCUCCUUUUUUCUUUUUGUUUUGUAUUCCUUUGUUUUGUGAAAUUGUUUUUUUUUUAAUUGAAAAAAAAAARAGAAAAUUUGCUUAAGACUUCAAAUUUAUAUCUCCGAAAUAAGAAAGAAAUAAUCUGGAAUUUUUGAAAUUGAAAUCUUAAGGGGCGGAGUAGCCAAGKGRAAAAAGGSRGKGRAUUGKGAAUCCCCCAGGC
rnacentral:misc_RNA from 1 species